AGCAGCCUUGUCAAAUUCAGUACUGUCCUCCUCCAUGGUUGGUACUGGCCCAGUUGGCUGCCACAGCAACACCUGUAGUUCAUGGGCCCCAAGUCUCUGUUACUGAACCCUGGGGAUAAAAAUAUACUACAGACACCU
rfam:Alligator mississippiensis ScZkoYb_636, whole genome shotgun sequence.